AACUACUUCUCAGGGCCGGAAAGCUCUCCAAACUCGGUCAUUUAGAGGAAGUAAAAGUCGUAACAAGGUCUCCGUUGGUGAACCAGCGGAGGGAUCAUUA
rnacentral:rRNA from 1 species